AAGCAAGACAGAGAAUGAUGAAGCAGAAAGGCUCUGAUGAAACAGAUUCAUACUGGGACAAUCUUUGGGGAAAACCGAGAGACUUCCAUCGUUCAGAAGAUGAAGUGAAAGAAAGAGCAAAAAGAGUUGUUGCUGCUGCUAGAAGAUGGAGGGAGUACUCAAGGAAGGGUGUUGACAAGCCUCCCACAUUUAAACUUCCAGAGGCAGCCUCAAGCAAGGACAAGUGACCCCUAUUUGCCUACACAUCUGGUCCCAUGUAAUUAAUUCAUCCAUAGUUUGUCACAUUCCAUAAUUGUAUAUGCAAAAUUCUAAUUUGGGUAAAUAUAACACAUGAUUUAUAAAUUUUAUAAUCUAUACAGGGAUUAAUCA